AUGCAAGUCGAGCGGUAACAGAAAGUAGCUUGCUACUUUGCUGACGAGCGGCGGACGGGUGAGUAAUGCUUGGGAACAUGCCUUGAGGUGGGGGACAACAGUUGGAAACGACUGCUAAUACCGCAUAAUGUCUACGGACCAAAGGGGGCUUCGGCUCUCGCCUUUAGAUUGGCCCAAGUGGGAUUAGCUAGUUGGUGAGGUAAUGGCUCACCAAGGCGACGAUCCCUAGCUGGUUUGAGAGGAUGAUCAGCCACACUGGGACUGAGACACGGCCCAGACUCCUACGGGAGGCAGCAGUGGGGAAUAUUGCACAAUGGGCGCAAGCCUGAUGCAGCCAUGCCGCGUGUGUGAAGAAGGCCUUCGGGUUGUAAAGCACUUUCAGUCAGGAGGAAAGGUUAACGGUUAAUACCCGUUAGCUGUGACGUUACUGACAGAAGAAGCACCGGCUAACUCCGUGCCAGCAGCCGCGGUAAUACGGAGGGUGCGAGCGUUAAUCGGAAUUACUGGGCGUAAAGCGUACGCAGGCGGUUUGUUAAGCGAGAUGUGAAAGCCCCGGGCUCAACCUGGGAACUGCAUUUCGAACUGGCAAACUAGAGUGUGAUAGAGGGUGGUAGAAUUUCAGGUGUAGCGGUGAAAUGCGUAGAGAUCUGAAGGAAUACCGAUGGCGAAGGCAGCCACCUGGGUCAACACUGACGCUCAUGUACGAAAGCGUGGGGAGCAAACGGGAUUAGAUACCCCGGUAGUCCACGCCGUAAACGAUGUCUACUAGAAGCUCGGAGCCUCGGUUCUGUUUUUCAAAGCUAACGCAUUAAGUAGACCGCCUGGGGAGUACGGCCGCAAGGUUAAAACUCAAAUGAAUUGACGGGGGCCCGCACAAGCGGUGGAGCAUGUGGUUUAAUUCGAUGCAACGCGAAGAACCUUACCUACACUUGACAUACAGAGAACUUACCAGAGAUGGUUUGGUGCCUUCGGGAACUCUGAUACAGGUGCUGCAUGGCUGUCGUCAGCUCGUGUUGUGAGAUGUUGGGUUAAGUCCCGCAACGAGCGCAACCCCUAUCCUUAGUUGCUAGCAGGUAAUGCUGAGAACUCUAAGGAGACUGCCGGU
rnacentral:rRNA from 1 species